AAGCCAGACUCCUACGGGAGGCAGCAGUGGGGGAUAUUGCACAAUGGGGGGAACCCUGAUGCAGCGACGCCGCGUGGGUGAAGAAGCGCCUCGGCGCGUAAAGCCCUGUCAGCAGGGAAGAAAAUGACGGUACCUGAAGAAGAAGCCCCGGCUAACUACGUGCCAGCAGCCGCGGUAAUACGGAGGGUGCGAGCGUUAAUCGGAAUUACUGGGCGUAAAGCGCUCGUAGGCGGUAUGUCAAGUCAAGGGUGAAAUCCCCGCGCUCAACGUGGGAACUGCCUUUGAAACUGGCAAACUGGAGUGUGUGAGAGGAUAGUGGAAUUCCAGGUGUAGGAGUGAAAUCCGUAGAUAUCUGGAGGAACAUCAGUGGCGAAGGCGGAUUGCUGGACAGUAACUGACGCUGAGGCGCGAAAGCGUGGGGAGCAAACAGGAUUAGAUACCCUGGUACU
rnacentral:rRNA from 1 species